CCCGAGCUCUGGGGCCCCGGGGAACUAUCCCAUUUUACCCUAUGAUAGCCACGCCACUGGCUCCCAACGACAAUAGUAUACGAGAUGAGUUUUAAAAUUAAACGGUGCGAAUCCGGUGGUUAUAUUAAACAGUUUCUAUACGAAUAAUCUCGAAUGUCAUGAUGGUAUAGCAGUGAAGUGACAAUAGUAAAUCAAUAAGCGGCAAAUAUAACAAGUAUAAUACCACGAUACCGGGUUGGUUUAGAACCGACCCACGCGACCUGUGAUGUGACAGGGACUCGGGGCUGGGU